rnacentral:tRNA from 1 species
UAAUUUUAGGUGUUUUGGCACAUCAAUUUUUGAUAUUGAAGGGGGUACUCGUUACCAAAAUUAA